ensembl:snoRNA
GCCAUGAUGACACAAUUUUGAUGAUCUGUUUGAGCUGAUUGUCCUCUAAGAAGUUCUGAGCCU